AUACUUGCCUGAAGAGAUGAGGAACCCAGAAACUUUCAAAUGGAUGCUUAAAAAUCCUCAGUACCGUCAACAGUUACAGGACAUGUUG